UACGUAGGGUGCAAGCGUUGUCCGGAAUUAUUGGGCGUAAAGAGCUCGUAGGCGGUCUGUCGCGUCGACUGUGAAAACCUGGGGCUCAACCCCAGCCUGCAGUCGAUACGGGCAGACUAGAGUCCGGCAGGGGAGACUGGAAUUCCUGGUGUAGCGGUGAAAUGCGCAGAUAUCAGGAGGAACACCGAUGGCGAAGGCAGGUCUCUGGGCAUUAACUGACGCUGAGGAGCGAAAGCAUGGGGAGCGAACAGG
rnacentral:rRNA from 1 species